CAGCAGCCACGGGAAUACAGAGGGUGCGAGCGUUAAUCGGAUUUACUGGGCGUAAAGCGUGCGUAGGCGGCUUUUUAAGUCGGAUGUGAAAUCCCUGAGCUUAACUUAGGAAUUGCAUUCGAUACUGGGAAGCUAGAGUAUGGGAGAGGAUGGUAGAAUUUCAGGUGUAGCGGUGAAAUGCGUAGAGAUCUGGAGGAAUACCGAUGGCGAAGGCAGCCAUCUGGCCUAAUACUGACGCUGAGGUACGAAAGCAUGGGGAGCAAACAGGAUUAGAUACCCGCGUAGUCCCUGUCUCUUAUAC
rnacentral:rRNA from 1 species